UGAGUUGGUGGCUAGGGUUCCGGCGCUUUGAAAAGCGUGCUGGUCCGAGAGCUGCCGCCGGUUGGGGGAGAAAUCCCACCGGAUGCACGGCGGGACAAAAGCCCGGGAGAC
rnacentral:sRNA from 2 species